CCUACGGGAGGCAGCAGUGGGGGAUAUUGCACAAUGGGGGAAACCCUGAUGCAGCGACGCCGCGUGAGUGAAGAAGUAUUUCGGUAUGUAAAACUCUAUCAGCAGGGAAGAAAAUGACAGUACCUGACCAAGAAGCCCCGGCUAAUGACGUGCCAGCAGCCGCGGUAAUACGGAGGGGGCAAGCGUUAUCCGGAUUUACUGGGUGUAAAGGGAGCGUAGGCGGUUCUGUAGGUCUGGAGGGAAAGCCCUGGGUCCAACCCCGGGACUGCUUUGGAAACUGUGAAACUGGAGUGCAGGAGGGGCAGGCGGAAUUCCUGGUGUAGCGGUGAAAUGCGUAGAUAUCGGGAGGAACACCGGCGGCGAAGGCGGCCUGCUGGACUGAAACUGACGUUGAGGCUCGAAAGCGUGGGGAGCAAACAGGAUUAGAUACCCCUGUAGUC
rnacentral:rRNA from 1 species